UGGAAUUGGUUUGCCGUUAAGCGUCGACGGCUACCGUUGGCCGCUAUCGCUGGAAGUAGACAAGUGAAAUAUAGGCCCUAAGCAAGCCUGGCCAAUUGACCUGUCCUCUACAAUUUGGCUAUCCCUCCACAGGGAUGGGCAGCCUUGGAAAGGCUUGUUUUGUUCUGCUAUUUAAUACUUUUACUGAGUGGAAAGUGGUAUUAUCUGUUGAUCAAAAAAGAAAAAUCAUAAAUAAAAUAUAUGUUAUUAAAGUGAUUCAACAUUUUUUCUUAUUAAACCUAUUUAAAAUCUAUUUUAAUAAAAAUAAGGGACCUAAAAUGAUUUGUGUAAAGGCACAAAAAAACUUAGCUACACCACUGAAUAUAAAUUUAUGUUGAAAGGAGAUUCAAAG
rnacentral:lncRNA from 1 species